rnacentral:rRNA from 1 species
UACGUAGGGGGCAAGCGUUGUCCGGAAUCAUUGGGCGUAAAGAGCGUGUAGGCGGCCCGAUAAGUCCGCUGUGAAAGUCCAGGGCUCAACCCUGGGAUGCCGGUGGAUACUGUCGGGCUCGAGUCCGGAAGAGGAGUGUGGAAUUCCUGGUGUAGCGGUGAAAUGCGCAGAUAUCAGGAGGAACACCAAUGGCGAAGGCAGCACUCUGGGACGUGACUGACGCUGAGGAGAGAAAGCGUGGGGAGCGAACAGG